GAAGAAUCUCCAUGAUUUUACAGGGAUGGGAAUCUUUCCCUAAUCGUGAUGGCGUUGAGGGCUUAUUUGAAGCUCCAACUUAUAGGCAACAUUUUCUGUAUUUCCAGCGACAACAUAAGUUGGAAAUGAAGUAGUUUGGGCUGUUUAAAGUUCUGGUGCCGAAAUACACCCAGUUCUCCACAUUUCUUUGCUCAACAAGUGCUCAGGAAUGCCCUACCAACAAGUUACCCUACUGUAGUUACAGGAUGAUAGUCAACAGGAAAAAUCUGUGAACCUUGCGACACAAGGUUCUUAUCGGUGAAGGAGGUAAUGUUAUGACCAUGUCAGUUGGGGGCCUCCAGUCCGCAGCCAGGUCAUUAUUCCUUCAGAAGCUGAAAAUGUGAGGCACACAAGUAGUGAAUUAGGAGUAAGGUGAUGAGACCAACAAUUUUUUGGUUGUCUACCCAGUGCCCGGACAGUAUUUUAGUCCGACUAAACUGGGAUUCGUGCUGUUAAGUCUUACACUGGGGUCAAAGCAUUUCCCAACUAAGGCGACCCCAUAUCCCGGGCUCAAACUAGAGACCUCAUUAGAAGGAAUACUUUCCAUUCCAUCACUAUCUCCGUCUCCGUCUGUAAAUGAACAUUAGCUAGAAAUAAAUUUCUCUGAGUCAUUUGUAAUUUCUAUUUUCUCCUCCUCU
rnacentral:misc_RNA from 1 species